rnacentral:rRNA from 1 species
AAGGAGCGACGCCGCGUGGAGGAUGAAGGUCUUCGGAUUGUCCACUCCUGUCAUUGGGGAACAAUGCGUAAAUAUUAACUGUAUUUACGUUGAUAGUACCCGAAGAGGAAGAGACGGCUAACUCUGUGCCAGCAGCCGCGGUAAUACAGAGGUCUCAAGCGUUGUUCGGAUUCAUUGGGCGUAAAGGGUGCGUAGGCGGCGCGGUAAGUCGGGUGUGAAAUCUUGGAGCUUAACUCCGAAACUGCAUUCGAUACUGCCGUGCUUGAGGACUGGAAAGGAGACUGGAAUUUACGGUGUAGCGGUGAAAUGCGUAGAUAUCGUAAGGAAGACCAGUGGCGAAGGCGGGUCUCUGGACAGUUCCUGACGCUGAGGCACGAAGGCCAG